rnacentral:tRNA from 1 species
AUCGGAUUAGUUUAUGUAAAAUUUCGGGAUGUGGGCUCGAAGAAGAGCAAAUAGCUCAUCUGAUA